CUGUUUUCUCUUAUCCCUUCUUUCUUCUUUUUCUUUCUAUUUCUCUGUUUUCUUCUUUUUCUUCUCUUCGUCCCGUUCUUCACCUGUUGAGAGUGUGAGAAUCAAAAGAGAGGAUUUUGAGACUUAAUUAGAUAGAGGAUGAUCAAGAAAGGGUUACUGGUAGUGAAGAUGAUGUGCAUCUGUUUUGAUGAAGAGACAGUGAUCUAGGGUUUCACGAGAGAAGCUAUGAGAAUGUUUAGAAAGUGAAUCUGAUGUUAUAAAUUGAUGAUUAGAAGUGGGUUUGGUUGAUUGAGGAGCGGGAUAAGGUUAAUCAGAUGAUAUGAAGUAUUCAUGAAGAAUUAAGGAGUUAGGGUUUCAUGUUCUUCCCCAAAUUUAGAAUUAGGUAUUCACAGGAAAAUUCAGGGAAGAUUAGAAGAUGAAAUUGAGUUUGAGGUAAGAGUAGAAUCAAGCUUAAUUGGUGGUGGUUCUUACUUUGGUAUUGAAUCAGAACUCAGAUAUUUGUGAAAGAGAUUUGUGAAAGUGGAUGUUGUUUAGUGCUCAAUUAGAGAUAUCUUGGUAUACAGAGAAUUGGUUUUGAUGUGAAUAAAAUAUAUAUGUAUUGUUGAGCUGUCUUGAGUCGUGCUGAAGACAACUGAAUUGUUAUGGUUGAAUAAUACUGAGAUGGAGAUAUGUAGUUGUAAAGAUUAUGUUGUUAAUGGAGUUGAGUUGAUGUUAUAGUUAGUUGAAUUUGGUGAUUAUACUGUUGAACUGAUAGAAGUGGAUUGUUAGGGUUGCAAUUAUGUGAAAUGCAAUCGUUGGUGUUAGUAUUCAAAGGUGCAGGACUGGAUGGAGUUGUAGUUGUUGGAGUUGCUUGUGAGAUGAUGAAGUUGUAAUGAGUUCAACUGAAGUUAAUUGUGAUGGAAGGAGCUGUAAUAAGUAAGGGUACAUGGAAUGAUGUUGGGUAUCAAGGAUUGCUUGCAAUGGUGGUGGUGAUGUUACUGAAUCCGGUGGUGGUAGUGGAUCGGAAUACUGUUGAAGUGGUUGGAUUUAGUUUUGGAGCUGAGUUGUUGCUAAUGGUGUUGUUACAGGUGCAAUGUUGUAUCUAAGGUUAGUGGUGGAGCUAGUGGGUCUCUCAAAUGAAGUUUGGUGAUGGUUGAGGAUUGUUGUUUAGUGGUUGAGUUCUUAGAGGGAGUUAUCUAUAGUUGAAGUUGAUGAAGUCGAUGGAGGAAAUUGCAGGCUUGCUGAACUGAGAUGAGUUAAAAUAGCUUUUAGUAUUGAAACUGCAGUUGUGAGGACUUUGUGGUGCAGGUGAACUUCAGUUAGAAGAAUGGGUUUACAGUUGAGAAUUAUGUGGGUUUGUACAAGUAAGAAGAGAUGGAGAUACAAGUGAUGGUUCUGUACAAUGAAUGGAACUGAAGUUGGUUUAGUAUGUGUAGGAUUAUGGGAUUUUUAAGGAAAAUUGUAGGUACAGGUUGUAGACUUAGUGUUGACUGUGUUGUUGCUGUUCGUGGAUUAGUAUUGUAGCUAGCUGAAUAUAGAAGGAGUGUUGCGUAGAGCUGCAAAUGCAUGUAUUUAAGCUGUAAUUGUGUUUGUAUUUUGAUUCUGAAGUUUGCUUAAGAAUAUAUGAGUUGAAGUUGUAUUUGAGUUAUUAUUUGUGCAA